rnacentral:rRNA from 1 species
ACAGCAGCCGCCGCGGUAACACGUAGGGUGCAAGCGUUAAUCGGAAUUACUGGGCGUAAAGCGUGCGCAGGCGGUUAUAUAAGACAGAUGUGAAAUCCCCGGGCUCAACCUGGGAACUGCAUUUGUGACUGUAUAGCUAGAGUACGGCAGAGGGGGAUGGAAUUCCGCGUGUAGCAGUGAAAUGCGUAGAUAUGCGGAGGAACACCGAUGGCGAAGGCAAUCCCCUGGGCCUGUACUGACGCUCAUGCACGAAAGCGUGGGGAGCAAACAGGAUUAGAUACCCGUGUAGUCCCUGUCUCUUAUAC